CACCUGGGGAACAUCAGUCCUAGUCACCUUCUCAGUGAUUAGGAAGGCCUUAAUGCCUUUUUCUUUUUCCUUUUUUGUUUUAUUUCCUUGUG